rnacentral:rRNA from 1 species
AUUGAACGCUGGCGGCAUGCUUUACACAUGCAAGUCGAACGGCAGCACGGGGCAACCUGGUGGCGAGUGGCGGACGGGUGAGUAAUAUAUCGGAACGUACCCAAGAGUGGGGGAUAACGUAGCGAAAGUUACGCUAAUACCGCAUACGAUCUAAGGAUAAAAGCAGGGGACCUUCGGACCUUGUGCUCCUGGAGCGGCCGAUAUCUGAUUAGCUAGUUGGUGAGGUAAAGGCUCACCAAGGCGACGAUCAGUAGCUGGUCUGAGAGGACGACCAGCCACACUGGAACUGAGACACGGUCCAGACUCCUACGGGAGGCAGCAGUGGGGAAUUUUGGACAAUGGGCGCAAGCCUGAUCCAGCAAUGCCGCGUGAGUGAAGAAGGCCUUCGGGUUGUAAAGCUCCUUUGUCAGGGAAGGAACGGUUGUGGCUAAUAUCCAUGGCUAAUGACGGUACCUGAAGAAUAAGCACCGGCUAACUACGUGCCAGCCGCCGCGGUAAAAC